UUUUAUGCGUUAGCGAUUGCAGUGAAAAUCCUUUUGAGAGGAACGAGCAAAAGAUUGUAACGAAAAGCGCGACCCUUG
rnacentral:sRNA from 1 species